rnacentral:rRNA from 1 species
CAAAAACAUUGCCCUCUGUUCAUAAUAUAGAGGGUACCUCCUGCCCAGUGAGUUUUCAACGGCCGCGGUAUCCUAACCGUGCAAAGGUAGCAUAAUCACUUGCCCAUUAAUUGUGGGCUAGAAUGAAAGGAUAAACAAAAUAAAUACUGUCUCUAUCUAUAUUUAUAAAAAUUAAUUUCUAGAUGAAGAAGUCUAGAUAAAGUUGACGGACAAGAAGACCCUAUAGAGCUUUAUUUAUAAUAAGAACUAAUCUCUUAUAUAUAAUUUGGUUGGGGCGACCAAGGAAUUUAUUAAUCAUCCUAAAACCUGAGACUAAUAAGUCAUUAUACUGACCCUAAAUUUAGAUCAAAAGAUCAAGCUACCUUAGGGAUAACAGGCUAAUUCUAUUUAAGAGUUCUUAUCUAAAAUAGAGUUUGGCCCCCUCGAUGUUGGCUUAGGAAAUCUUUAAUAGCGCAUAG